rnacentral:rRNA from 1 species
GGAGGGAAUCGUCGAAGGUGGGACUGGCGAUUGGGACGAAGUCGUAACAAGGUAGCCGUACCGGAAGGUGCGGCUGGAUCACCUCCUUUCUAAGGAG